UUUUUAACCAGGUUUUCCGAAGGAAAAAACUGGUUAUUAGAUUGGCGAAUGCGGGCGGGCUGGCUGGCUGGCGGGCUGGCUGGCUGGCUGGCGGAAUAAGCUUGUCCGGGCCAUAACUAUGUCGUUCAUUGUCAGAUUUUAAAAUCAUUUGGCACAUUUGUUCACCAUCAUUGGACGGUGUGUCGCGCGAAAUAAUUACGUCGAUAUCUCCAAGGUCAAGGUCACACUUUGAGUUCAAAGGUCAAAAAUGGCCAUAAAUGAGCUUGUCCUGGCCAUAACUAUGUCAUUCAUUGUGAGAUUUUAAAAUCAUUUGGCACAUUUGUUCACCAUCAUGGGACGGUGUGUCCCACGAAAGAAUCACGUCAAUAUCUCCAAUGUCAAGGUCGCCACGACUAAAAAUAGAUUUAAAAAAAAAAAAAAAUUACAAAGGGGGUUAAUUUUUUUUGGUCAUUUCAAAAGUU